AAACAAAAGCUGCUGGGAACACAGAUACAAAAGGAAAACUGAAGGCUAGGGGCAAGGAAAGAGGUAACAGAUUAACUGAAGCAUUAGAAUUGCUCUGCAGCUAUUCCAGAAAAAUUUACCUUCAUCUCCUUUGAGAGUCCCCUUACUCUACCUAGCAGCCUUCCUUGCUGUGAGAGGGUGAACAAUAUGAACAAAAAGAAGCAAGGAAAAGGGCUCUGUCGGAUUUGUUCACUCAGAACCAGUUGAUAGUCUGCCAAGAAAAGUUUCUCACCCUCAAGAGGUUCUGAGCUUAAAAGUCUCUUUGUGAACACGUGAGAAAGGAUCCUUCCCUGCUCAGGAAUCCUGCAUGUAUUUAUGUGUGUGUGCGUGGGCACGAAGGUUUGGAGGAAAGUGGACACUGGACUGAUACAGUACUAUUUUUUUGGAAGUGUUACAAACAUCUUCUCGCUUACAUUAAAAUUGUUGCUAUACCCUGAAUUACAAUAACCCUCUUGUUGAAACAUCACUCAUUUUUACUUGCAAUAAUCACACUUAGAAAUUACACGUAUUUCUCAGCCAAACAACGUAAUUUCCUGCUUUAACUGAGCAUCUUAGCCUUGCACCCAGUGACAAACCUCUCUACCUAUUUCACAUCCACCUCACAGAGUGGAAGGAAGGGAAUGAAAAUCUUAUUAUUUAUGGAUAUAGAAAUUGAGAACAAUACAAAGGGGCCAAUGAAUCAGAGGUGCCAUUCUGCCUUACAGUGGGGUCUUCUUUGCCAGGACC
rnacentral:lncRNA from 1 species